CCCUUGGUGGUCCAGUGGUUAGGACUUGGCACUUUGACUGCCACGGCCCAGGUUUAAUCCCUGGUCGGGGGC